CAAUUUUGGUUUGUACUCCUUUGACAUCUAUCUAGUCAACGGUAUGUAGAUUAGAACUAUUUCGGUUGAACACAAGGAAACCAUUCUCUUAAAACAAAAAAAAACAUUUUUUGUCAUCUAUUGGAUUAUAUUAAUAACUUGAAAUUUUACACAUAAACCAACAAAAAAUAUAUUUUUUUCUGGAGCCAAACAAGAUUAUGCAUAAUUGAAGAUUACUUCUGUUGAAUAAAUCUUAGUUCACCAAACAAGUGACGUGCCAACCCCUCUCGACAUUUUUUUCCUUACCAGACCCGUUCCAGUCCUCAGGAGAAAAGACACAAAAGCCUUCCAUUAGUAUUAUUAUAUUUUAAGAAAAAAAUAUAAACAUAUAAUA